GAACUGCGAUAAGUAAUGUGAAUUGCAGAAUUCAGUGAAUCAUCGAGUCUUUGAACGCACAUUGCGCCCCCUGGCAUUCCGGGGGGCAUGUCUGUCCGAGCGUCAUUGCUGCCCAUCAAGCCCGGCUUGUGUGUUGGGUCGUCGUCCCCCCCGGGGGACGGGCCCGAAAGGCAGCGGCGGCACCGUGUCCGGUCCUCGAGCGUAUGGGGCUUUGUCACCCGCUCGACUAGGGCCGGCCGGGCGCCAGCCGACGUCUCCAACCAUUUUUCUUCAGGUUGACCUCGGAUCAGGUAGGGAUACCCGCUGAACUUAAGC
rnacentral:misc_RNA from 1 species